rnacentral:rRNA from 1 species
GACGAACGCUGGCGGCGUGCUUAACACAUGCAAGUCGAACGGUAAGGCCCUUCGGGGUACACGAGUGGCGAACGGGUGAGUAACACGUGGGUGAUCUGCCCUGCACUUCGGGAUAAGCCUGGGAAACUGGGUCUAAUACCGGAUAGGACUCCUGGCUUCAUGGUUGGGGGUGGAAAGCUUUUGCGGUGUGGGAUGGGCCCGCGGCCGAUCAGCUUGUUGGUGGGGUAAUGGCCUACCAAGGCGACGACGGGUAGCCGGCCUGAGAGGGUGACCGGUCAGACUGGGACGGAGAUACGGCCCAGGCUCCUACGGGAGGCAGCAGUGGGGAAUAUUGCACAAUGGGCGCAAGCCUGACGCAGCGACGCCGCGUGAGGGAUGACGGCCUUCGGGUUGUAAACCUCUUUCAGCUAUGACGAAGCGCAAGUGACGGUAGUAGCGGAGGAAGGACCGGCCAACUACGUGCCAGCCGCCGCGGUAA